AACACUGACGUCGCGACGCAUAUCAAUAAGCGGAGGAAAAGAAACUAACAAGGAUUCCCUUAGUAACGGCGAGUGAAGCGGGAAGAGCUCAAAUUUGAAAUCUUCAAGGUUCUACCUUGACGAAUUGUAGUUUAAAGAAGUGUUUUCUGUUAGUGGAGUGGCAAAAGUUCUUUGGAAUAGGACAUCGUAGAGGGUGAGAAUCCCGUAUUUGGUCAUUCCUUCUAGCUUUGUGAUACACUUUCAAAGAGUCGGAUUGUUUGGGAAUGCAGUCCAAAAUGGGUGGUAAAUUUCAUCUAAAGCUAAAUAUUGGCGAGAGACCGAUAGCGAACAAGUACCGUGAGGGAAAGAUGAAAAGAACUUUGAAAAGAGAGUUAAACAGUACGUGAAAUUGUCAAAAGGGAAGCGUUUGACACCAGUGUUGUUUUUCCGAAAAUCAAUUACGAAUGGCUUGAUUUUGUGUUGUAUUGACCUUAUCAGCUUUCUGCACUUUUUUCGAGUCUUUCUUAAUGCACUUUUCGGUUAACAAGUCAACAUCAAUUUCUUUUGUUGUAAAAGAGUAUUCGGAAGGUGGCUUUCUUUUCGGAGAAAGUGUUUAUAGCCCUAUACUUCUACAAUCGGAGAGAUUGAGGUCUGCAGCGUAGAUCCUUCGGGGUUAGAUACAUUUGUGCUAAGUUAUAGCCUUUCAUAGACAACUUGUUGACUAUGAUCAGUCAUGUAGCUUACUCGCUUAUGCUAUUUUACCUACGCUUAGGAUGUUGAGUCGUAGAGCACGCAG
rnacentral:rRNA from 1 species